rnacentral:rRNA from 1 species
UAGGGAAUCUUCCACAAUGGACGCAAGUCUGAUGGAGCAACGCCGCGUGAGUGAAGAAGGGUUUCGGCUCGUAAAGCUCUGUUGUUAAAGAAGAACGUGGGUGAGAGUAACUGUUUACCCAGUGACGGUAUUUAACCAGAAAGCCACGGCUAACUACGUGCCAG